rnacentral:rRNA from 1 species
GAUGAACGCUGGCGGCGUGCCUAAUACAUGCAAGUCGAGCGAACAGACGAGGAGCUUGCUCCUCUGACGUUAGCGGCGGACGGGUGAGUAACACGUGGAUAACCUACCUAUAAGACUGGGAUAACUUCGGGAAACCGGAGCUAAUACCGGAUAAUAUAUUGAACCGCAUGGUUCAAUAGUGAAAGACGGUUUUGCUGUCACUUAUAGAUGGAUCCGCGCCGCAUUAGCUAGUUGGUAAGGUAACAGCUUACCAAGGCAACGAUGCGUAGCCGACCUGAGAGGGUGAUCGGCCACACUGGAACUGAGACACGGUCCAGACGACUACGGGAGGCAGCAGUAGGGAAUCUUCCGCAAUGGGCGAAAGCAUGACGGAGAAACGCCGAGUGAGAGAUGAAGGUCUUCGGAUCGUAAAACUCUGUUAUUAGGGAAGAACAAAUGUGUAAGGAACUAUGCACGGCUUGACGGUACCUAAUAAGAAAGCCACGGCUAACUACGUG